AUGUUAAUUUUGCUUUUUCUGUCCUCCUCGGCAAGCGAUGCAGCUUUGGGUCUGUGGCGGGGCUGGCUAGAUUCCCAUGGCACAGAGAGCAGCUGCCUGAGUUUCAGGGCUCUGGAUAAAACUGUUUCUCUUCCAUGCCGAGAGAACGUAAUGACAGUAGGGCCCUUUGGGCCUGCCAGCCAUCUGCAGGUCCAGGUCCUGGUUAAGCAUGACCAGGUGCAGAGAAAAGUCUUCUUGCUACCUCUCAGCUGAUUAGUGGAGCCGGUUGAUUGGUGCAAAUGAGGAAGCUUUUAUCCUGCUUGAGUAUAAUCUGCUUGCAUCUUUAUUGGCUAAAAGCAGGCGUGAUGCUGGCAUGACCCAGGCUGCCCCAGGUACUGUGCUCAGAAAGGGUACUGACACUAAUGUCUUCUGACACACACAUCCCCCAUGCCCUUCCUGUUAAAGGUGCACACACAGAUACGCUGCAGAAAAAAAUCUCCAAAGCUUAUGCAUGCACUUUUUUAAUUACACUACUUUUGUGAAAAAUAUUUUUUAUAAUAUACACCAUAUUAAAAUGCACAUUCUCAGUGAAGGCGAGCGGGAACGUUCAGCGCUUUAUAGCUGAAGCCUUUGGCGUAAUGGCUGCUUGUUUCCUUCUCAUCUUCUUUUGUCCUUAAAGGACGCUGCCUUGCCUAGCUGCACAGAUCCUUGGAGCAUCUUUCCUAUCUGUCUGUCCCUCUCUGUGCUGCAACACAGCCUGUUAUUUCAAGGAAAGUGCAACCUUUGCCUUGGGCUUUAAUUAUGUUCAAUUUGCCAAGCCGAGCCUGAAAAAUUCAGAGGGUAAAAAAGCUCUAUGACCUAUUUAUUAAUGCUGCGUUGGGUCUAAAGCUACACUGAGAUCAGCACUGCAUCACUCAACAAUAACACCCAUCUCUGGAGAACAGACUUCAAUCACGUUGUACUCCUCUCUUACAAUGGGAAUUCAUUACUUUAUAAUAGAUCACUGACCAGUUAAUCAUUAUUAAAAGAAAUGUAAAAGUUUGUAGUUAAGUGUGAUUUGUAAUUGGUGUACAUUGUUGGAAUUGUACAUGAAAUUGGC
ensembl:lncRNA